CUUAGCUAGGACGCCAUUAUGGAAUAAUACUGUAAAUAAAUUUUCAGUUCUUGGGGUACCACAAGGAGUAAAACACUACACCAGGAGCUAUAUGUUUUAACAACGAUACUAAAACGUUAGAGCUGUGCUGUCUCUCAGUAGUCCACAACAGGACAAGAGUCGUUGCGGUCAUCCUCUUUCGUCAUCUGGCUGCUGCUUUUGCAACACCAAACCUUCAAGUUCCCUUCUCCAGCGGCUGCUGCAGGUCCCCCGGGGUCCACGGCCUGGAUGUGACAGGGUUUGCUACCUCGAACGACGAAUCCCCAUCCCACAGCAUCGCCUACAAUCUGCGGAAAGGCCAUCAAACGUUGCCAUGUUGCGUGUACAGGACUACCUGAGAGAAAGCUGGUGUUUCCUCCAUCCGAGUUCUGUUUACGGAGACAGAAGGGGCUGUCGUGACUCUCGGGAAUACCGCGGCCCCGUUCGUGGAGAAGCUCCAUCAAGCGCCUCCUCCUCCGAAAGUUCAUCCUGAACUGGAAGAGGAGGGGCCCGUCCACAAAGUGAUGCUUAUUGGUGACUGGUAAAAGAAAGCCAAGGCACAUUUUUUUUACCAAAGAGGAUUAGAAGGUAAAUGGAUGUUAACUCAAGUCAGAUGAUUUGUGACUAAAGACGUAAUUACCCAGGCCUCAGAAACAUGAAACGGUCCUCAUAAAACCACAAACUCUGUGGGAAUUCUUGUCUUAUUCAUCCAGAAGAACAUCAGGAGGUCAGAGAUGUGUGUUUUAGCUCGUUUCAACUGUUUUUGAUGGGGUUCAGGUCAGUGCUCUCAUGUUAUGACACAAACAGAAUGCCUUUAUUAGCCUUGCUUUGUGCAAUGGCGACACAAACAGGCAUUCCUAAAAUGUUCCCACAAAGUAGAAGGAUACAUAGGCAAUUUAAUUUGGCGGGUUUUUUUCCCGGUUUUUACCAUAUUGAUCCAAGUACGAGGUAGGAACAAACGCUGGCCGAGGUUCUGUAUCCAAUGUUGUGUCUGGCUUAAAUGUUCUUAAUUGAGUUGUGGUCUCCUAUAGAGCAGCUACACACAAUAACCACCACAGAAAGCUUUCUACAUCUUCCAGAAUCUGCACCUAUUCCAGCUACAUUUAAUUGGAAUUAUGCUUCCUGCCAAAAACGGUCUGUUUUCAUUUAUUCCACCCACGGCCCACACCUCCGGGCUUCCUAACUAUGAACUAUAUAAGGAAGUCCGCCACUCUGUGACAUCACAAAGGAACGGUUUUACCACGCCUUUUGAAAACGAGAGAUUUAAGCUAUCACAAACUUCUUUCAUGUCUCACUUCCAAAUGCGCAAAUCUUAUUAUCUGAAAUUUUGGCAUCGUUUAACACGAGAAUUCUAACUACAUUUAUAUGUCAGAAAAAUGGAAAAAGCAUAACAAUAAUAAUGUGUAUUUGAUACGGGGCUGCACGGCGGUCAAGUGGUUAGCGCGCAGACCAUCGACCAUCUCUGUGUGGACUUUGCAUGUUCUCCCCGUGCAUGCGUGGGUUUUCUCCAGGUACUCCGGUUUCCUCCCACAUUCCAAAAACAUGCUAGGUUAAUUGACGACUCCAAAUUGUCCAUAGGUAUGAAUGUGGCCUCUCGCCCGAGGACAGCUGGGAUAGGCUCCAGCACCCCCGCGACCCUCGUGAGGAUAAGCGGUAUAAAAAGAAUGAAUGUAUUUUAUACAGUUAAAGGGAGUUCAUACAUUUCAUACACUCCAUUUCUAUGAACAAAUGCGAAGUUUAAAUAUCCAGACAUGACAGUGGAACACAGAGGACUACUGUGAGGCUGUUACCAUAGACUUAGUGACAGCACAAACAGCACUGCAAUGUGUGUGUGUGUGUGUGUGUGUGUGUGUGUAUUAGAACACACCACAUUCCAAGGCCUUGGAGAUGCUUGUUGGCUCUAUUACAGUUCAUGAGAGACGGGAUGCACGGAGAGGAAAAUAAAAGAGUUCUUUGUCUGCAGAACACGCUGCAGACGGACAAUACGGUCCAGCAAUGUUAGAGCUAUGAUGUACAGCAUUGUAACUAUACACUGUCCAAGCUGUGGAAAAUCAAAUAUAAACAAUAUGACCACCCUAAUUGUAUCAUGAGUGAGUGUGAAUCACUGACAUCCUUGUCAAAUUCAAUUUUGAGUCAAUUUGAGUCAUGUGGACCGGAAGCUGACCAAGUCAGCAGAGACACUGAACAGCCUCAUUUUAUUAUGUUUAGGUCCUGAUGCAUCCCUCCUCACCAUGCUGGAUGAUCCCAUGCUCAAGGAGGCGUCGUCCCAGCUGCUCCGUCUCCUCCCUGGUCGCCAUCUCGCCCUCUUGGAUGAGCCAGUCAAUGAACUCGGAGGCCACCAGCGUCCGCUCGAAGGUCCCGCCCUCCUCCUCCCUGGUCACAAGCUGGACUUCUUCCACGCUGAGAAGAGCUGCAGGAUUCUUUGGAUCUCCACCAGCCAGCAAGUCAACCUGCCUUUCACCGUCCUCGGUCACGUAGCCAGCUGGCGGCCCCCGCAUCCAGCUGUGCCAGUCAGGGACACUGACACACACACUAUAGCAUUCACGGACACGCUAGCUAGCGCUCAGUGACAACACACUGAAAACUUUGUGCUGACGCAAGCUAUUCCUCUCCUGUAGUGUUGAAUGGUGGAGGUGUCACAGCUAAUGCCGCAAACUGAGGAAACAAUUCCGUUUGCAGGGGAAAGGGCGGGUGAAAUCCCCAGGCAUUUGUACCACUGAUGUGACCGCCACCGUGGUGGUGGGGGGCCUCGCUUGACACACAGCGGGGUCAAAGGGUACGUCAACAACAUUGUCGUGCAGGGCAUUUACACCUGGCAGCACUCAUGCAGCCCGGGAUCACAACGCUACCACCGCCAUGAUUGACUGUCGACAGUAUAUAGUUUUCUUGCCACUGACUUGCAGGUUAUUUUGACAAGAACAAAGUAU